rnacentral:rRNA from 1 species
UAGCGUAAUCACUUGUUCUUUAAUUGGGGACUAGUAUGAACGGCCCCACGAGGACUACACUGUCUCCUUUUUCUAAUCAAUGAAACUGAUCUCCUCGUGAAGAAGCGAGGAUAAAUAUAUAAGACGAGAAGACCCUAUGGAGCUUCAAACAACUGGGAUACUUGCUAAUUCUUUAAUCUAUUUCCUGAAAACUAAACAAAUUAAAGCAUCUUACCCCCUAGUUUUAGGUUGGGGUGACCACGGAGAAAAAAUUAUCCUCCACGCUGUAAGAAGCCUCCCAUCUUCUAAGCUAAGAGCCACAUCUCUAAGCAUCAACACAUUGACUCCCAUUGACCCAAUAAUUUGAUCAACGAACCAAGUUACCCUAGGGAUAACAGCGCAAUCUACUUU